UGCUGUGCUCAGCUCCUGCUCAUUGGGUUUAUGUUGAACUCAUGAGGACCUGAUGCAGAAUUCUUUUUUUAAUUAUUUUUUUAAGUAUACAGAUCCUGCAGUAUAGUUGAAGCCGUGGUUCUAAAUUCUCAGUAAAAAGCUGGACUUAUUUAUCUCUUUUUUGUUGUGCAAAGAUUGUUUACUGACAAUUGUCAUGGUUAGGUUUUUAAUGAAUGCUUAGUCCUUGCUUGUCAAGAACAAAAGGACUGAAAUAUGUUUACAGAUCAGGCUGCUGGUGACCUCCACUUUCCAUUUUGUAAUGUUUAACAUGCGGUUUCAAUGUUUUGAAUUUUUGCUUAGCAGGCUGAGAGCUGCACCAGAACUCUUUUAAAAAUAGUCUUCAUAGCUUAAAUGUUAAUUGGAGUUUCUGUUGGGGAGGUUGAGAAUUAAAUGCUGCCGAUGUAGCUUUACAUGGAGCAAAGUAAGAAUUAGGCCAAUGUGAAAUACGUCCUGGUGUUGCCUCAAAAUGAAAAUACGGAGUGCUACCAAACCUAGACUUGUGUGGGGCACCACAGAAGUAUGUUGUGUAGUAUCCUUGGAGUAAGAUUGUUACCUUGCAAGGCAGAAGGCAAUUGAAUAAAACCCACAUCAACGCACAUUAGCUAUUUCCUGUUAGGAAACACUGGGUAUCGUUUUUCAUAGCCAUACUUUAUGAAGUACAUGUUAUGAUAAUUGUCAAACGCUGUGAUUCUUCUUCUUAUUUGGUAAAUCUUGUACAUGUGGAUGAGAUAUUAUUUUUCCAGGGGUAUGUUUAUAUGAAUUGCAGCCAGUUCCUUUACCUAGAAAACUAUGUCAAUGUAAUGCAAUGUUAUGUAAUUCGGUUCUUAUAUGCUGCAUAUCACAGAGUUGAAUUUCUUCCAGAAGUGCGUUAAGUAAUGGGAUUGUUAUCUGCUACAUGUGGUUUUCUCUCUCCCGUUCUUUCCAAAGGUGACUUUUGUGCUUUUUUUAUUUCUGGUGUCUUUUAAAAUUGUUAUUACAUUAUCUGUACACAGUUCUGUAUGCAUUCAUGUGACUCGCAUUCAGAGUAGAAGACAGUGAGCUUUGUGCUGAGGAUAAUUCCAGUGGGAACUCAUCCAGAAGUCUCGUGCUGGCCCGAGAAAGCUGUAUUCUGCAGAGCUUUUCUUUGGAGAUGGAUAAUCCCACUGCACCUGUGCAACGAAGCUGCUGUCUAUUUUUCCUCAUCCUGUCUCCCUCUGUAGGUAACCAUUCUUAUAAGCAUCUGGGGUCCCAAACUUCUGAAUCCCUUAUGAACAAUGAUGCAACACUGAAAGUAACACCACAGAUUAAAUACAAGUCUUGGACCUGCACCAGUCCGGAAUGGUGCUCACAGCACACUUGUAGUGUCCUUGCACAUUUGUAGUGCCGAUUCUCUGUAACAGUGGUGAGGGUGACAGCAGGACCCAGGUUAGAGUGCUCUUGGGAGAACCCAACUUUGGAAGCAGUGUUGCUGUGGGACAUUCCUCUCCUCCUUUCUUUCGUUCUUUCCAGCUUUUAUGGCCUGAAGUCUAACACUGGGACUUCAAAUUCAGGUGUUAAAGCUGAAGCAGUGGCUGAUACAUAUCACACAAGUGAUUAUUAAGGUGGCGCAAGCCCUUUUGACCAAGUAUUACUGCUGUGUAGUUUCUUGUCUUUGUGAUUUUUCCCCAGCUGGAUAUUUCUUUUGAACUGAAAUGAUCUGCAUGUCUCGUAGGAACUGACCUGUCUAGAAAACAUUUUGAUCAAAUUCCAACACAGUUUUAAUGCGUGUGUUUCUUUUGCCUUUUCCUGGCUACUUCCUGAUGCUGUUUAUCCAAAACAUCACUUGCUGUCAAGGGCAAUGCUGGCCAUUUGAAACAUCUCCAUGUCCAUGAAGCAGCUGUACCUACUAGGCUUAAUUUCUGUAACGAUUUACCAAGUGUAUGUAAUUUAAAACCCACUGUUCUUCUCUGCCCUCCUACCAUCACCAGUCAGCUCAUUUCAUCUGCAAGAAGUGAUGGAAUUAGGUUGCCAAGAUUCUGGAAGGUUUGCUUUUCUAUACCAAAUUUAACAUAAUACAUGCAUGGCUUAUGCAAGAAGAAGGACAGUUUUUCUGUUUUCCUGCCAUAUCAAGCAAUCCUGGAAUCCGUUCUCUUCAUGAAUAACAGCAUUAACCAUUAAUUUUAGUUUAUUUGGUGGAGAAGAAGAAAUAUGAAAAAUGGAAAUUAAGACUAAGCUUGGGAGGUGUGCAAUAGGAAGAUAAAAUUCUCUAAUAAAUAUGUUAAAAUUUCAGGGGAGUUUGACCUUGUGACUGAUACACAAGAAAACACACAAGAUUUACGCAUGAUGUGGAUGUCCAAGCAGUCUGAUUCCAAGUGAAACUGAGAAUAUAGUUUUACAUUAUACUGCUCCGUGCUAUAUUUGGAUCAAGUGAAGAGGGAAGGAAAGAGAUACUGAAUUAUUUGAAAGUACAAGAAAGUGCAAGUGGAUUCAACAUAAUAAUAAUAAUUCCUGAAAUAAUUAUUUUUCUUUCUUUUUUUCUUCAGGAGAUCCACAAGUACAAUGGAACAAUGGAAGAGUGUCAAUAGUAGAUUUGAACAUGAGCUGCCAGCAAGGUGGAUGAAUGGUGUGACAGUCACAUCUGCUGAAUGUUCUGGAGUUUUCCUGAUAAGGAGAAGCUGCAGAGACAAUUCAGUGUGUUUCCUGGUGCUACACAGAUGAGCUGCAGCAUGGCAAGGAACUGGAGUCAGUGUCACAACCCAGAGGUGUCCGAACCACUGUCCGUUCCUCCUUACCAGAAGCUGGUCCUCAGAGAAGAUCCUGCGUAAUGACCAGCCCAUGUCCUUUGAGUGUGGUGAGCCAGGCUGUAGUCACAGCACCUUUACUUGUUGUCAGUGACCUCACUGGUGAGACAAAUCAAUCCUGAAGAAGGACUUGCUCUUUUGAAGGAAGUCAGCGAACCUUUGCACAUAACAGGGUCGUCACUUAAGGUGGAAACUUCCCGUCACUCAGGAAAAGAAGGCGAACUGCUCCCUCUAUAGGCUUUCCCGGUUGUUGCUUUCCUGAACUGGCCAUUGCAUGCAAGCUUUGAAGGCUGGCAAGAACUCUGAAGGCCCUGCCUCCACAAUUGCACCAACACUGCAGUUUAUGGCAUCAUUCUGCACAGCACCAACAACAGCUGCAGAGCAGCAGGAGUGUGAAGAAGCAGCCGGAGGCAAGGCAGGGAUGGGAGACAGAUGUUCCCAAGCUGGCCUUGCAGCUGAAGUCCCCCUUUUGAAAGUGCAGCUGCCAGCAUACCCUUGCUCUGGCAUAGAUCAGAGGGAAUUCUCCUGCAGUGCCUGAAGUAACACUUUAGGGAAGAACUGUCACAUGGGUGAGUUAUAUAUUAACCACUAUAGAUGACCUUUCAGAGAGUGGCAGAGUAACAAUCUCACUGAAUUACUGAUAAAGAAAAAUGGCAAUUUUUCCAUUAUGCAGAGCACGGGUAUUAACUCCUAGGAAAAGACUGCCCAGCUCUUCCCACUAAAUGAUACCAUUUUCAGUUCUUCCAUACUUUCUUAAAUGUGAAUAAAUAGUUCAGAUGAUUUCAAUGCUAAAUAAA